rnacentral:rRNA from 1 species
GACGAUGGAGGCGCUGACGUCGUUGUUCGGAUUAUUGGGCGUAAAGAGCUCGUAGGCGGACUUUUAAGUCAGGGGUGAAAUCCCGAGGCUCAACCUCGGAACUGCCUUUGAUACUGGAAGUCUUGAGUAUGGAAGAGGUUGGUGGAACUGCGAGUGUAGAGGUGAAAUUCGUAGAUAUUCGCAAGAACACCAGUGGCGAAGGCGGCCAACUGGUCCAUUACUGACGCUGAGGUGCGAAAGCGUGGGGAGCAAACAGG